GAUGAACGCUAGCUACAGGCUUAACACAUGCAAGUCGAGGGGAAACGGCAUUUAGUGCUUGCACUGAAUGGACGUCGACCGGCGCACGGGUGAGUAACGCGUAUCCAACCUACCCAUUACUGUGGGAUAACCUGCCGAAAGGCAGACUAAUACCGCAUAGUCUUCGAUGACGGCAUCAGAUUUGAAGUAAAGAUUUAUCGGUAAUGGAUGGGGAUGCGUCUGAUUAGCUUGUUGGCGGGGUAACGGCCCACCAAGGCGACGAUCAGUAGGGGUUCUGAGAGGAAGGUCCCCCACAUUGGAACUGAGACACGGUCCAAACUCCUACGGGAGGCAGCAGUGAGGAAUAUUGGUCAAUGGGCGCGAGCCUGAACCAGCCAAGUAGCGUGCAGGAUGACGGCCCUAUGGGUUGUAAACUGCUUUUGUAUGGGGAUAAAGUCAAUCACGUGUGAUUGUUUGCAGGUACCAUACGAAUAAGGACCGGCUAAUUCCGUGCCAGCAGCCGCGGUAAUACGGAAGGUCCGGGCGUUAUCCGGAUUUAUUGGGUUUAAAGGGAGCGUAGGCCGGAGAUUAAGUGUGUUGUGAAAUGUAGACGCUCAACGUCUGACUUGCAGCGCAUACUGGUUUCCUUGAGUACGCACAACGUUGGCGGAAUUCGUCGUGUAGCGGUGAAAUGCUUAGAUAUGACGAAGAACUCCGAUUGCGAAGGCAGCUGACGGGAGCGCAACUGACGCUUAAGCUCGAAGGUGCGGGUAUCGAACAGG
rnacentral:rRNA from 1 species